rnacentral:rRNA from 1 species
UACAGAGGUCUCAAGCGUUGUUCGGAUUCAUUGGGCGUAAAGGGUGCGUAGGUGGCGUCGUAAGUCGGGUGUGAAAUUUCGGAGCUUAACUCCGAAACUGCAUUCGAUACUGCGGUGCUUGAGGACUGGAGAGGAGACUGGAAUUUACGGUGUAGCAGUGAAAUGCGUAGAGAUCGUAAGGAAGACCAGUGGCGAAGGCGGGUCUCUGGACAGUUCCUGACACUGAGGCACGAAGGCCCAGGGGAGCAAACGGGG